AACCCCUGCUGCCAGUUGCCAACGGGUGGAAGCCGGGCACUCUGGCGGGACUGCCAUCGACAAGAUGGAGGAAGGUGGGGAUGACGUCAAGUCAUCAUGGCCCUUAUGUCCAGGGCGACACACGUGCUACAAUGGCCGGCACAGCGGGAAGCGAGGCAGUGAUGCCAAGCGGAUCCCUUAAAGCCGGUCUCAGUUCGGAUUGAAGUCUGCAACUCGACUUCAUGAAGCUGGAAUCGCUAGUAAUCGCAGAUCAGCCAAGCUGCGGUGAAUACGUUCCCGGGCCUU
rnacentral:rRNA from 1 species